rnacentral:SRP_RNA from 1 species
GCUGGGUGUGGUGGCGCAUGCCUGUAAUCCCAGCUACUCGGGAGGCUGAGGCAGGAGAAUCGCUUGAACCUGGGAGGCAGAGGCUGCAGUGAGCCAAGAUCGCACCACUGCACUCCAGCCUGGGCAAUAGAGCGAGACUCUGUCUCAA